AUUGAACGCUGGCGGCAGGCUUAACACAUGCAAGUCGAGCGGGGGGAGGUAGCUUGCUACCGGACCUAGCGGCGGACGGGUGAGUAAUGCUUAGGAAUCUGCCUAUUAGUGGGGGACAACAUCUCGAAAGGGAUGCUAAUACCGCAUACGUCCUACGGGAGAAAGCAGGGGAUCUUCGGACCUUGCGCUAAUAGAUGAGCCUAAGUCGGAUUAGCCAGUUGGUGGGGUAAAGGCCUACCAAGGCGACGAUCUGUAGCGGGUCUGAGAGGAUGGUCCGCCACACUGGGACUGAGAAACGGCCCAGACUCCUACGGGAGGCAGCAGUGGGGAAUAUUGGACAAUGGGGGGAACCCUGAUCCAGCCAUGCCGCGUGUGUGAAGAAGGCCUUAUGGUUGUAAAGCACUUUAAGCGAGGAGGAGGCUACUUUAGUUAAUACCUAGAGAUAGUGGACGUUACUCGCAGAAUAAGCACCGGCUAACUCUGUGCCAGCCGCCGCCGUAA
rnacentral:rRNA from 1 species